rnacentral:rRNA from 1 species
UACAGAGGUCCCAAGCGUUGUUCGGAUUCAUUGGGCGUAAAGGGUGCGUAGGCGGCGCGGUAAGUCGGGUGUGAAAUCUCGGAGCUUAACUCCGAAACUGCAUUCGAUACUCCCGUGCUUGAGGACUGGAGAGGAGACUGGAAUUUACGGUGUAGCAGUGAAAUGCGUAGAGAUCGUAAGGAAGACCAGUGGCGAAGGCGGGUCUCGUGGACAGUUCCUGACGCUGAGGCACGAAGGCCAGGGGAGCAAACGGG